AACAGAUUUACUUCGGUAAUGACGUUAGGAAAGCGAGCGGCGGAUGGGUGAGUAACACGUGGGGAAUCUGCCCCAUAGUCUGGGAUACCACUUGGAAACAGGUGCUAAUACCGGAUAAGAAAGCAGAUCGCAUGAUCAGCUUUUAAAAGGCGGCGUAAGCUGUCGCUAUGGGAUGGCCCCGCGGUGCAUUAGCUAGUUGGUAAGGUAAAGGCUUACCAAGGCGAUGAUGCAUAGCCGAGUUGAGAGACUGAUCGGCCACAUUGGGACUGAGACACGGCCCAAACUCCUACGGGAGGCAGCAGUAGGGAAUCUUCCACAAUGGACGCAAGUCUGAUGGAGCAACGCCGCGUGAGUGAAGAAGGUUUUCAGAUCGUAAAGCUCUGUUGUUGGUGAA
rnacentral:rRNA from 1 species